UGGGGAAUAUUGCACAAUGGAGGGAACUCUGAUGCAGCGACGCCGCGUGAGUGAUGAAGGAAUUCGUUUCGUAAAACUCUGUUCUAUGGGAAGAAAAGGACUGUACCAUAGGAGAAAGCUCCGGCUAAAUACGUGCCAGCAGCCGCGGUAAUACGUAUGGAGCGAGCGUUGUCCGGAAUUAUUGGGCGUAAAGGGUGCGCAGGCGGCUUCCUAAGUCCAUCUUAAAAGUGCGGGGCUUAACCCCGUGAUGGGAUGGAAACUGGGAAGCUGGAGUAUCGGAGAGGAAAGUGGAAUUCCUAGUGUAGCGGUGAAAUGCGUAGAGAUUAGGAAGAACACCGGUGGCGAAGGCGACUUUCUGGACGAAAACUGACGCUGAGGCGCGAAAGCGUGGGGAGCAAACAGG
rnacentral:rRNA from 1 species